UUACCUACCCUCUAUAAGGACAGCAACAUGUUAACUACCCCCUCUACAGGUACCUGUUACUACCCUCUAUAUAGGACACAGCAACAUGUUACCUACCCUCUAUAGGACCAGUGACAUGCUUACUACCCUCUAUGGACCAGCGACAUACUACUAACCCUCUAUGACAAGCAACACACUAACUACCUCUCAUAGGACUCAGA
rnacentral:lncRNA from 1 species